AAAUGACCUCAUGCUGACUUGUAAACUGCAUCUUAUUCAUGUUGCAUAUACAUCACAUAAGACAUCAAGACACGUAGCCACUGUCACACGUUCACAACAUUUAACUUAACACCUCUAAAUUAACCCAUUUACCCCUAAGAAAUAUUUGGAGCAUUCCAAAUAAGUUACAUGUUCAGCAGGAAGUUGCAUCAUCUGAAAUUCAUGAAUGUCAUGGAGUAAGAGGAAAAAGAAUUGUCUUUCACGGUGAUGUUUGUCUGUAAACGAGCCGUACUCAUGUUCAGCGCACGUGAAUCGAAGAAGGCUUUGUCUGAAUGAGCGUUCUGAUGACGUCACAUGACCCAUCAGAAUCUUGGCCCGAAUCUGCGUUGCUGUUUGAGGGCUGUGAGCGUUGCCUCCAGUCUCUGCUGCUCCUCGGCUCUGUUUGCAUCAUCGUCACUUUGGUGUAAACACACACCUCUGCCCGCGUGCUCUCUCUGCGUGCUCAUGCGAAGCGCGCGC